rnacentral:rRNA from 1 species
AACGUAGGAGACGAGCGUUAUCCGGAUUUAUUGGGUUUAAAGGGAGCGUAGGCGGGCUGUUAAGUCAGCGGUCAAAUGUCAGGGCCCAACCUUGGCAUGCCGUUGAAACUGGCGGCCUUGAAUACACACAAGGAAGGUGGAAUUCGUCGUGUAGCGGUGAAAUGCUUAGAUAUGACGAAGAACUCCGAUUGCGAAGGCAGCCUUCUGGGGUGCGAUUGACGCUGAGGCUCGAAAGUGCGGGUAUCGAACA